UACGUAGGGUGCGAGCGUUGUCCGGAAUUAUUGGGCGUAAAGAGCUUGUAGGCGGUUUGUCGCGUCUGCUGUGAAAUUUCGGGGCUCAACCCCGAACUUGCAGUGGGUACGGGCAGACUAGAGUGUGGUAGGGGAGACUGGAAUUCCUGGUGUAGCGGUGAAAUGCGCAGAUAUCAGGAGGAACACCGAUGGCGAAGGCAGGUCUCUGGGCCACUACUGGCGCUGAGAAGCGAAAGCAUGGGGAGCGAACAGG
rnacentral:rRNA from 1 species